rnacentral:tRNA from 1 species
AACUUAUGCAAUGAACUUAAAAUUCAUUUAUAAAGAUUAAUCUUUUUUUAGAA